UACGAAGGGGGCUAGCGUUGCUCGGAAUUACUGGGCGUAAAGCGCACGUAGGCGGCUUUCUAAGUCGGGGGAUGAAAUCCCUGGAGCUCAACUCCAGAACUGCCUUCGAUACUGGAGAGCUUGAGUCCGGGAGAGGGUGAGUGGAACUGCGAGUGUAGAGGUGAAAUUCGUAGAUAUUCGCAAGAACACCAGUGGCGAAGGCGGGCUCACUGGCCCGGUACUGACGCUGAGGUGCGAAAGCGUGGGGAGCAAACAGG
rnacentral:rRNA from 1 species